rnacentral:sRNA from 1 species
AAAUAACUCUUUUCUGACUUUUCUCUCAGUUGUAUGUCUAAAUGCUAUAGUUUUUCUUAUUCCAACGAUUAAUUUUAAAAUAUUUUUGUAAUUUUAGUUUUCUGAUAAAGUUGACAUUAAAAUUAAACAAGAAAAACAAAUUUCUGCCUACAAGAUUUUACUUUUGACAGAAAAAAAAUACAUUUUUCUAAUGCUAAAAUAUGCUUUAGUUUAUGUUUAUCUGGCAUCUCAAAAAGUGUGAUGACAUGUAUAUUUUUUCUAACAAUUGAUGACAUUUAAGUCUAUUAAAUCGAAAUCAGUUCGGUUUUUCAACUUUCCUCAGAGAAUUUUACGAGUAUGGAGCUACCUUAAUAGAGUUUCGUUGUUUUGGAAUCCGUUUUCAAUGCUCGUUUAAAGCAAUACUUCUUGUAAAGGGUUUUUUGUGAUACCCAUGUAAAAUAAACUAUGUAUGUGUUUGAAGAUUCUUGUGAAACCCACGUUCGAUUUUCAACAGUUCUUGUUUUUAUAUAUCCAAAGCAUUAACUAGAAACUAAAACUUGUGAUAAAUUUUGUAGCCUGUGAUCCAACAGAUAUCUUGUUUACAAUUUUACUCUCUGGAUUGAAUCUGAAUAAAUACUAGAGG